UCAGCUUCUCAGAAUGAGGUGCCCUGCUCAGCUCCUGGGACUGGUUAUGCUCUGGAUCCCUGGAUCCUGUGGAGACAUUGUGAUGACACAGACUCCACUCUCCUUGUCUGUUGCCCCUGGAGAGUCGGCCUCCAUCUCCUGCAGGUCUAGCCAGAGCCUCUUAGAUAAUGAUGGAUACACGUACUUGUACUGGUACCAACAGAAACCAGGCCAGGCUCCAUGGCUCCUGAUCUAUGAGGUUUCUAAGCGAGAAAAUGGGGUCCCACAGAGGUUCAGUGGCAGUGGGUCAGGGACAGAUUUCACACUCAAAAUCAGCAGAGUAGAACCUGAGGACUUUGGAGUUUAUUACUGUAUGCAAGCUACACAUGAUCCUCCCACAGUGAUACAGCCCUUAACAAAAACCCUGCUUGGUUUGGCCCAUCUGCCGUCAUGUGUUGGUUGUCGGGGAGCAGCAUAA